GAGUAUAAAGGAAAAUAAGAUUGAGAAUUGGAAUGAGGAUGAGAUUGAACUUGUUUUCACUUUCAAGUUUUUGUUUGUACUUUUGUAACUCCUCCCUCCUUCUCAUCCUCUCCCCUCUCAAUCUCAUAUCCACUCUCAUUCU
rnacentral:miRNA from 1 species